UACAGAGGUCCCGAGCGUUGUUCGGAUUCAUUGGGCGUAAAGGGUGCGUAGGUGGCGCCGUAAGUGGGGUGUGAAAUCCCGGGGCUUAACCCCGGGACUGCAUUCCAUACUGCGAUGCUUGAGGACUGGAGAGGAGACUGGAAUUUACGGUGUAGCAGUGAAAUGCGUAGAGAUCGUAAGGAAGACCAGUGGCGAAGGCGGGGAUCUCUGGA
rnacentral:rRNA from 1 species